CCCUUAGAUGUUCUGGGCCGCACGCGCGCUACACUGAUGCAUUCAACGAGUCUAAAACCUGGUCUGAUAGGGCUGGGUAAUCUUUUGAAUGUGCAUCGUGAUUGGGAUAGAUGAUUGCAAUUCUUCAUCUUCAACGAGGAAUGCCUAGUAAACGCAAGUCAUCAGCUUGCAUUGAUUACGUCCCUGCCCUUUGUACACACCGCCCGUCGCUCCUACCGAUUGAAUGUUCCGAUGAAUACCAUGGACUGAGAAUAUGAAUGGGUUCGCCUAUUUCUGCUUCUCGGGAAGUGGAGUAAAUCUUAACAUUUAGAGGAAGGAGAAGUCGUAACA
rnacentral:rRNA from 1 species